rnacentral:rRNA from 1 species
UACGGGGGGGGCAAGCGUUGUUCGGAAUUACUGGGCGUAAAGGGCUCGUAGGCGGCCAACUAAGUCAUACGUGAAAUCCCUCGGCUUAACCGGGGAACUGCGUCUGAUACUGGAUGGCUUGAGAUUGGGAGAGGGAUGCGGAAUUCCAGGUGUAGCGGUGAAAUGCGUAGAUAUCUGGAGGAACACCGGUGGCGAAGGCGGUUCUCUGGGCCUGACCUGACGCUGAGGAGCGAAAGCGUGGGGAGCGAACAGG